GGGCCAUAGCUCAGUGGUGGAGUACCUGCCUUGCAAGCAAAAGGUCCCAGGUUCAGUCCCCAGCAUCUCCA